CAGCAGCCACGGGAAUACGGAGGGUGCAAGCGUUAAUCGGAAUUACUGGGCGUAAAGCGCACGCAGGCGGUCUGACAAGUCAGAUGUGAAAUCCCCGGGCUUAACCUGGGAACUGCAUUUGAAACUGUCAGGCUGGAGUCUUGUAGAGGGGGGUGGAAUUCCAGGUGUAGCGGUGAAAUGCGUAGAGAUCUGGAGGAAUACCGGUGGCGAAGGCGGCCCCCUGGACAAAGACUGACGCUCAGGUGCGAAAGCGUGGGGAGCAAACAGGAUUAGAUACCCGUGUAGUCCCUGUCUCUUAUAU
rnacentral:rRNA from 1 species